GACGAACGCUGGCGGCGUGCUUAACACAUGCAAGUCGAACGGUAAGGCCCUUCGGGGUACACGAGUGGCGAACGGGUGAGUAACACGUGGGUGAUCUGCCCUGCACUUCGGGAUAAGCCUGGGAAACUGGGUCUAAUACCGGAUAGGACUCCGGACUGCAUGGUCUGGGGUGGAAAGCUUUUGCGGUGUGGGAUGGGCCCGCGGCCUAUCAGCUUGUUGGUGGGGUGAUGGCCUACCAUGGCGACGACGGGUAGCCGGCCUGAGAGGGCGACCGGCCACACUGGGACUGAGACACGGCCCAGACUCCUACGGGAGGCAGCAGUGGGGAAUAUUGCACAAUGGGCGCAAGCCUGAUGCAGCGACGCCGCGUGAGGGAUGAAGGUCUUCGGAUUGUAAACCUCUUUCAGUAGGGACGAAGCGAAAGUGACGGUACCUAAAGAAGAAGCACCGGCUAACUACGUGCCAGCCGCCGCCGUAA
rnacentral:rRNA from 1 species